GUGCCUGUUAAUUCCAGCACUUUGGGAGGCUGAGAGAUGUUAAUACAAGCAGUUCCCAACUAAGAAUCUUUCCAGACAAUGAUCAUGUCUUUCCUGGUUAUGUGAAAUCUGAAAACAUUUCCCAUGAAACAAUCUGAAAGGUGGCUGGGAAGGGAAGUAACAUUUUCUGAGUGCUAUGGUUUGAAUAUGUCCCCCAAAGUUCGUGUGUUAGAAAUAAUCCCCAAUGCAACAGUGUUAAGAGGUGGAAACUUUAAGAGAUGAUUAGGUUAUGAGGGCUCUGCCAUCAUGAAUGAUUAAUGCUGUCUGUUAUUGCUGGAGUAGGCUAGUUAUCUUGGGAGUGGGUUCCUAAUAAAAGGCUGAAGUUUGGCCUCCUUCUUCUUCCGUUGCCCUUUCACCUUCAGCCACAGGAUAAUGUAGCAAGAUGGCCCUCAGCAGAUGUGGGCCCCUCCACCUUGGACAUCCCAGCUUCCAGAACUGUAAGAAACCAAUCUCUGUUCUUCAUAAAUUACCCAAUCUAGGCCAGGUAUGUUGGCUCAUCCCUGUAAUCCCAGUACUUUGCGAGGCUGAGGCGGGUGGAUCACUUGAGCUAGGAGUUUGAGACCAGCCUGGGCAACAAAGUCAGACCCUGUCUCUACAAAAAAAUACAAAAUUAGCAGGUGUGGUGGUGCAAGCCUGUGGUCCCAGCUACCCAGGAGGCUGAGGUUGGAGGAUGGCUUGAGCCAGAAAGCAAAGGUGCAAAGGUUGCAAUGAGUCGAGAUCGUGCCACUGCACUCUAGCCUGGGCAACAGAGCCAGACCCUGUCUCAAAAAACCAACCAACCAACCAACCCACAAAAACCAUACCCAAUCUGAGGUUUUGUUAUAACAGCACAAAGUGAACUAAGGCACUGAGUAUCUAUUACAUACAUUAUUUCUCAACAACACUCCUGAGAGGAAGAAAAUACCAUUCCAUUAUGUAGAUAGGAAAAGUGCAGUUCAGAGAGGAUAACUGGUAGUUGGGUACCCUAGGUCAUUUGGCUCCAAAACUGCUCUUUUUAGUAUAUGACAGUAUUUCUGUAUGUUUAUAGGGACAGCUCCCUCCAACCCCCUACUUCUCUGAAAACACAAAAUUCCAUUCAACCAAAUUUAGCAGGAUGCUACAGAACCUAAUUACCAUUUAUGGAGAUAAUCUAUGUAGAGAUUAUCCUUAAUUAUAACUUGGGCUCUAAAAACACAUUCUCCACAAUGGUAUAAUGUUUAACAUCCCAUUAACUCCCCAGUUUACUCCUAAAAUAUGCCAGAGCAAUGGAAAAGUAUUCUCAGUGACUUCAGAGGCAGCAGGGAGACAGAGGAGACAGGGACAACUUGAGGUGUUUCCAGCAUUUCCAGCUUAGAGGAAAGCAGGUGGCAGUGUCUGGCUCUUUGCCCCAUCUGAGUGGUAUUUUUUCAGCUCUCUUAAGUCCUCCUCCCCCUACUCCCAAGGAAUUUCUGGAAAUGAAAUAUCCUGGAAGAACAAUCUCUUCUUUUGCUCAGCAUUAAAAUAACUCUACAGCUAAGCAUUCAGGUAUGAACUACCAUUCUUGAUACAAAUGUCAGCAGCAGAAACAACCUUACAUUUCUACACCUAAAAAUGGCUGUUGAAUGGCGGAGGGCGGGUGGCUGGUUUCUGAGGGACGUCUGAAUAUUUCCACCAUAAAUCCAUUUCUAGGUCUGAUAAGGCAGCCACCAAAACAAAAAACAAAAAGCACCUGCACUCCCCUCUUGCUGUUGAUGCAAGCCUGCUGCUAGCUCUCCACAUCACCGGUGAGGGAAUCCUAGCUUCAGGCCUCUAACCCUGACUAGUGACUCAUCUGGGAGUAAAGGGGUCACAUAUUUCUAUCUGUGUGCCUACAAACUAGAGAUCAGCAAGGUCUGCAAAGUUUUAGCCCCAGGAAGAAUGAAAACCGGAAGCAGUCAUGUUCUUUCUCUCCUCUCUGCCAAGCUCCUGAAGGAGAGAGGGUGCCUUCUGCUCACCUCAACUUUUCUUACCUAUCACAUUACUUUGUGCUCCAUUUUCUACGGCUAGGCAUUUGCUAAAGUAUGAGCAAAUGAACAUUUUAUUAGUAUUUUAUUUGUAUUUUUGGAGAAGAUAUAGAGUUUCAUGAGAAACACUGAUUUUUCUCAA
rnacentral:lncRNA from 1 species